rnacentral:rRNA from 1 species
UGUCCUACGGUAGGCAGCAGUGAGGAAUAUUGGUCAAUGGCCGAGAGGCUGAACCAGCCAAGUCGCGUGAGGGAAGACGGCCCUACGGGUUGUAAACCUCUUUUGUCGGGGAGCAAAGAGAGUCACGUGUGACUCAUUGAGAGUACCCGAAGAAAAAGCAUCGGCUAACUCCGUGCCAGCAGCCGCGGUAAUACGGAGGAUGCGAGCGUUAUCCGGAUUUAUUGGGUUUAAAGGGUGCGUAGGCGGAUUUUUAAGUCAGCGGUAAAAUGUCCGGGCUCAACCCGGGCCGGCCGUUGAAACUGGGG